rnacentral:rRNA from 1 species
AACGAACGCUGGCGGCAUGCCUAACACAUGCAAGUCGAACGAGACCUUCGGGAGUAGUUGCGCACAGGUGCGUAACGCGUGGGAACCUGCCGUUAGGCUCGGAAUAACUCCCCUAAAGGGGUGCUAACACCGGAUAACGUCUGCGGACAACAGAUAUAGCGCCCUGGGGUGGGCCGGCGUUGGACUAGCUAUGUGCGAGCGUAAGAGCCUCCGACGGCUGCGAUAGAUAGCUUGUCUGAGGGGAGCAUCAGCGACACUGGGACUAGGCCACGGUCCAGAAUCUUACGGGAGGCAGCAGUGCGUAAUCUUGGACAAUGGGGGAAAGCCUGAUCCAGCUAUGCCGCGUGAGUGCUGAAGGCCUUAGGGUUGUAAAGCUCUUUUACCCGGGAUGGUAAUGACAGUACCGGGAGAAUAAGCUCCGGCUAACUCCGUG